AGAGUUUGAUCCUGGCUCAGAUUGAACGCUGGCGGCAUGCCUUACACAUGCAAGUCGAACGGCAGCGCGGACUUCGGUCUGGCGGCGAGUGGCGAACGGGUGAGUAAUACAUCGGAACGUACCCUGUUGUGGGGGAUAACUAGUCGAAAGAUUAGCUAAUACCGCAUACGACCUGAGGGUGAAAGUGGGGGACCGCAAGGCCUCACGCAGCAGGAGCGGCCGAUGUCUGAUUAGCUAGUUGGUGGGGUAAAGGCCCACCAAGGCGACGAUCAGUAGCUGGUCUGAGAGGACGAUCAGCCACACUGGGACUGAGACACGGCCCAGACUCCUACGGGAGGCAGCAGUGGGGAAUUUUGGACAAUGGGGGCAACCCUGAUCCAGCAAUGCCGCGUGUGUGAAGAAGGCCUUCGGGUUGUAAAGCACUUUUGUCCGGAAAGAAAUCGCGCUGGUUAAUACCUGGCGUGGAUGACGGUACCGGAAGAAUAAGCACCGGCUAACUACGUG
rnacentral:rRNA from 1 species